AACGCGUGGGAAUCUACCCUUCUCUACGGGAUAGCUCCGGGAAACUGGAAUUAAUACCGUAUACGUCCUGAGGGAGAAAGAUUUAUCGGGGAAGGAUGAGCCCGCGUUGGAUUAGCUAGUUGGGGGGGUAAAGGCCUACCAAGGCGACGAUCCAUAGCUGGUCUAAGAGGAUGAUCAGCCACAUUGGGACUGAGACACGGCCCAAACUCCUACGGGAGGCAGCAGUGGGGAAUAUUGGACAAUGGGCGCAAGCCUGAUCCAGCCAUGCCGCGUGAGUGAUGAAGGCCCUAGGGUUGUAAAGCUCUUUCAGUGGGGACGAUAAUGACGGUACCCACAGAAGAAGCCCCGGCUAACUUCGUGCCAGCAGCCGCGGUAAUACGAAGGGGGCUAGCGUUGUUCGGAAUUACUGGGCGUAAAGCGCACGUAGGCGGAUAUUUAAGUCAGGGGUGAAAUCCCGGGGCUCA
rnacentral:rRNA from 1 species